rnacentral:rRNA from 1 species
AGUGACCGCUGGCGGUGUGCUUAACACAUGCAAUUCGAACGGACUUUAAGGUGCUUGCUUCUUAAAGUUAGUGGCGCACGGGUGAGUCAUGUCUAGCUAACCUGCCCUUAAGUGGGGGACAACAGUUGGACACGACUGCUAUUCCCCCAUACUCCAUCUUCUCAUAAGGUAAGAUGGGAACGAUUUCUUGCUAAGGGAUGGGGCAUUAUGGUAUCAGCUAAUUGGUGGGGUACCGGCCUACCAAGGCAAUGACGCCUACCUGGUCUGAGAGGAUGAUCAGGCACACUGGAACUGAGACACGGUCCAGACUCCUACGGGAGGCAGCAGUGGGGAAUAUUGCACAAUGGAGGAAACUCUGAUGCAGCAACGCCGCGUGGAGGAUGACGCAUUUCGGUGUGUAAACACCUUUUAUAAGGGAAGGUAAUGACGGUACCUUAUGAAUAAGCACCAGCUAACUCCGUGCCAGCAGCCGCCGCAG